AACUAUGAAUGUCUAUGAUGCUAUAAAAAUUGUUCUUCACUAGUUGGUGCAGAUAUCUUCGGCACGAAAUCAUUCAGAAUUUCAAAAUUCACGUUCGAGUUUGCAAUAAAAAUCAAUUUAUCCCAAUAAUCCCACUAUUAUAUCGCACAGAAGAUUAUUUCAUUUAAAUGGCUUCAAUGAUAUUAUUUAGUAUGCUAUCAAAUAAUGCUUAAUCUCGUGCAAAGUGUUUGCCGGCACACCUGACGAUGAUUCAGGCACUUCGAAUAAGCACUCCAUCACGCUAGAAAUGCGGAAUCAACUGGUGACUGGUGACAAACCUUGCCGCUUGUAUUACACACCGGCUUUAUGAAUAAAGUGGUAGAAACGGUUGCAUAAGCAUGGAGUUUUAGCGGAUUAGUUCGGUGUUAAAGUGCCGGGAUUGUUUGAGAUUGGCCGCGGAAAUAUUUACCGCUGUAAGUGUACUGGCCAUUCAUUGAGAACGCGGUAGCGCCGCACCGAGACUACCGACCACACGUACGUAACAAGUUGACCGACGCUGAAGCGAUAAACAGUGCGCAUCUGACAAAACCGCGUAUCGCCAACUAUAAAACCC